AGCCCUGGUAGGGCGAUCCGCCUGAUCUGCCUUCACACGGCAGAGGUCACUGGUUCGAUACCAGUACCGCCCA
rnacentral:tRNA from 1 species